CCCAUUUUCUCAAUUCUAUGAAAGGCUCAUUUAACUUAAUAGUUAUGCAAGUCCACACCUGUCUGAAUGAUACACUGGCUCAUUCAUUUAGUUGAAAGGUAGACACCAAAUUGAUUUUUAAAAAGACAUACGAACCUAAUUGAAAAAAAAUUCAUGAAUCACCUUAAUGAGGAAUUGGUACCAGGAAAUGCAGUACAGAGAACCUCAGACAAUUUGCUUUUGGAAAAGCGCUAAUCAACCACAUAUUCAUCUGGAAUGAAAAUGCCUCUCUAGCAAGACAUUGUGUGAUAAUGAAGUACAGGAGGUGAGAGCCGUCUCAGUGACUUUUAAUUAUUUCUCAUUCUUCUGUGUCUGAAGACGAUGGUGCGUAUAUUACCGAAAAGUGAGGUGACCAGUAUUCUUUCCAGCAUUGGGUAAAUUAAAGACAAAGUGGACAUCAUUUGCAAAUUCUUGCAUUUUUUUCUUUGCAGCUGUUGUUCAUCAUUUCCUUCCCUAAUUUGUUCCAAGAUUAGCUGACUUGUCACAGUCAUUUCCUCGUGGUCCACCACCCUGCCAUGACGGUUGAAGCUGACAAAGAAAUCAAUCAAGAAUCAAAUAUCCAACAAGAGUUUCUGGGCACCUAUCUACUAUUCUGGACUAGGUAUAUUCCAAAAACAAAGAAAACAGCUUCAUCCACCAAGAACAUUUAAACUGCUAUAGAUCUAUUUUCUGAUUUCAGUUUUUUCCCCCAAGAAGAUAUAUCCUUUGGUAUUGGUAACCCAUAAUUAAGUUAAAUGUACUUAAUGUCACAGUUUUACUUUUUCUCUAAAAUGCAGACAUCCACACAGGCAACUUCCAAAGGAGUGAGUUCCAAAAGUUAAUCUUUUACUUUAAGUCAGGGGGAUGGAACUUGGCAGUAUGGACAUAGAACGUUCUGCAGAAAAACAGGCCCAUUCUGAAAGUUCCUAAAAUACAGUUGUGUACCAUCAUAAGAAAGCAACACUAACCUUGGCCAUUUUCGGAUGGCAGAAACACAUCUAUAUCUAUUGUAAUCAAAUUGAAAACCGCCAUCUCCCCAUCAUUCUGCAAAGCACUGGAAUGAAGGCUCCAGCUCCAGUGGCUUGGCUCAGGGACUACACGUGGGCAAGGGCUGCGUGGGUGAGAGUUUAAGCCUACUGAUAAAUCCCAGUAAUCAGUCUGCUUGUUUCCCUUUGAAUGGCUACUAGUUAGCUUCUGAUGAGGAUUUUUAUAUUUUCUCUUUCCUACUAAGAAAAAGAAUGAUGUCAUAGACUUCCUCUGAGUUUCAGCUUCUGAAGUAAAUAUGAAGCUCUUUCAGAGGUUUUCUGAGGAAUUUUUACAGCUAUGUUACAAAGGAAAAGUAGAAAAUAAAAUGGCUGUUCAGGAGGUAGGGCCAUAAUUUAAAAAGAAAACAAAAGAAGAAAAGAAAAUGGCUGUUGAUUUCCCUUUCUUUUUACUCGGAGAGUGUAGGUAAAGACAGAGUGUAAUAUAUAUGCUAAAAGCAGAGCAUGUUACUCUAAGGAAUACAUUAAUAGUAUUUUCUAUUUCAGAGAAAAAAAAUAUACUAGGCAUUUUGUCACAAAAAGAGAUGCAAAAUAUAUGGGUAAAACAAACAGAAAAAUUCUGGAAGCAGGGUAUGUGAAGUUGAGUGAGCAACUGAACUCACUGUCAGACCAGUGCCAGAGCUGGACCCAUCAAAGAAACAUCAAAAGAGCAUAAAGGAGAAAACUUGGACAGAAGAAAACUUGAAAGUGUCCUUCAAAGAGCAGCUCAGUGGACGUGCCCUUCUCAAAACACUGGAUCUUUUCUUUUGAGAUGACCGGGGGGAGGGGUACAAAGUUGAAAAAGGGACCCCCCACAGAUACAUUUGCUACCACCUGUUGUGAAAUGUUGAACCUGCAAAAGAGGCACAGAUAGUGUCCUACUUUCUUAACUAGUAACAGCUGUUUCUGAAAAUAACAGAAACAGAAGCCAAUCCUUUAUGCAAGCUCACUUGUUGCAUGUAUUUCAGAAAUCUAAUACAAAUUUACAACAUCUCUAAUAACCGAGUUUUACACUUUAAAAAGAUCUUGAAAAUACAUACAGAAAAGAAGUCCUCCUUACAAGCAUUGUUUGGAGGGAAAAAUACAGUACAAAGUAAAGAGGGAGACACUUAUAGAUAGGUAACCAAGAUUAUGUAGCCCACUUCUUGCCAGCCCUCUUUUCACAGUUUUCUUAGUUCUAAUGUAAACAAUAUCCCAUAAUUAUUCAAUUCAACCUCCUUAGAAGCUUCUGUUGGUGAGUCCUGAACUCCAAAGGAAGCUUCACAGCACCCAAAGAUCCUAACCUUUCUGUGCCAAAACGCACUAUGUAUGUUUUUUCUGACCCUCCUAAACUAUACCCUGUCCCAUCUCAACAAUUGGCUACCCUAGCCAACACUUCUUAUCCUUGCCUAUCACUCUGCUGGUUUAGGUACUUAGCUUAACUUCUAAUAUCGGAUCCAUCAUUGUUUUGUCAAACAAGGUAACUUUUCAACACAUCUUUGAGACACUCCUUUGCACCCUCUCUCAUUCUCAGGAUAGCAUCAUUGACUGGACUUGCUUCAUUACUAUGGCUUUGCAGAAUGGAUCAACCUCAGGUAGCCCUAUUACAAAAGGAACUGACUCAGCUCAAGAGAAAAGCUUCAACUCCCUAUGAUUUCAUCUUUGACCCGACCAACCAGAGCUCCUGACUCACCCACCCACUACCCACCAAAUUAUCCUUAAGAACUCUGAUCCCUGAAUGCUCGGGAAAUUCAUUUGAGUAAAAAUAAAACUCCAGUCUCCUGUACAGCCAGCUCUGUGUAAAUUACUCUUUCUCUGUUGUAAUUCCCGUCUUGAUAAAUUGGCUCAGUCUAGUCAGUGAGCAAGGUGACAAGUCCAAGAGAAAAAAAUAUUUUUUGAAAUACACAUAUGUGAGUGCAUGUACACAUUCCUUGUUCUCAAAACUUACUGUAACAGAACUCAAUGUUAACGUCAUUCCUCGCUAAGUUACAAAGUUAAGAAUAACACAGUGGUGUGAAUUUUUUAAUCAAAGAAGUACAAGGUAUUUUUAGAUUGUUUCUAAUGACAGAGUUUUACUGAUGUUCUUGUUUCCAUGCAUCUCCACAUAUCUCCACAACUGGAAAUUCCACUAGCAGUAUUCUUUCAUGUAUUCCUUUCUUCAUUCAUUCACUAACUACUUUUUGGAAGGGUACCAUGUGCGAGACACUGUUCUUGAUACAGAGAUGAACAAAAAAGAAAAAAUCUUUGCCAUAAUGGACCUUGCAUUCAAGUGUGGGGAGACAAGAACAUGUAAACCAAUAAUACUUUCAAAUAGUCUGAUAUGAAGAAUAUGCAACGCAGUAAAGAGAUACAAAGAGAGAGGGAGCUAUGUUAGAGAGGCUGGCCAAGUAAGGAUUUGCUAAAUUUUCACAUUUGAAAGGAAACCUAAAUGAUGUUUAUUAUCACGGGGAUCUUGAGGAUAAGUACUGAUGGCACAGGAAGCAGAAGGUACAAAUCCCUGAGGCGGCAAUUCAAGGAAUAGAAAGGCCAGGUGGCUGGAACACAGUAAACUAUAACAGAUUGUCUCCAUUAAAUGCAAAGAAAUUUAACUGAAAACAUAGUAAACCCUUCAUAUAUUUCCUAAGAAAUGCUGCACCUGACAGGGAGAAAAUAGAAGUUUUAGAUGUGAAUGAUGGGUAUUCUGAUAGACUCAAUAGUUAAGAGACACUCUCUCUCACAUCAGUCUGGCAGAAAAUAUGAUUCAAAUGAGUACAGUAGGGAAUUUAUAAAUUAUUACAUGUCAUGACCUUUGGAGUCUGAGGUAGAUUAAAACCACAAGAAUUGAC
rnacentral:lncRNA from 10 species